GAUGAACGCUGGCGGCGUGCCUAAUACAUGCAAGUCGAGCGAACAGACGAGGAGCUUGCUCCUUUGACGUUAGCGGCGGACGGGUGAGUAACACGUGGAUAACCUACCUAUAAGACUGGGAUAACUUCGGGAAACCGGAGCUAAUACCGGAUAAUAUAUUGAACCGCAUGGUUCAAUAGUGAAAGACGGUUUUGCUGUCACUUAUAGAUGGAUCCGCGCCGCAUUAGCUAGUUGGUAAGGUAACGGCUUACCAAGGCAACGAUGCGUAGCCGACCUGAGAGGGUGAUCCGCCACACUGGAACUGAGACACGGUCCAGACUCCUACGGGAGGCAGCAGUAGGGAAUCUUCCGCAAUGGGCGAAAGCCUGACGGAGCAACGCCGCGUGAGUGAUGAAGGUCUUCGGAUCGUAAAACUCUGUUAUUAGGGAAGAACAAAUGUGUAAGUAACUAUGCACGUCUUGACGGUACCUAAUCAGAAAGCCACGGCUAACUACGUG
rnacentral:rRNA from 1 species